GUCAAAAACACCCAGCGGCCGCCGCCAACUUUGUGGCGAGGGCGGCCGGCGGCGCCGCGCGGGGCUGCCGCGCCUCUGCCUCCUCUGCCCCCUUUCGCCUUCCCGUCCUCCGCCCUGCUGCUCCUCGAGCGGCUGCAGUCCCUCCCGCUGCUUCUCCCCUUUCUUAUCGGCUCCAGGCGCUGCUGGAGCGAGCGAGAGAGAAGGCGGCAAUGCGAAAGAAAGCUGGAGGGAGGGCUGAGAGGGGGCAGAGAGACGGCGGAAAAUGGAGCGUAGCCCAGAAGAGGGGCUGGACACUCAGAUGACCUAGCAGGAACUGAGAAAAAUUGAGAGAAGACGGGAGGUAGCCGUCCGCACUCCUGAUUUUUCCUGCAUCUGCUAUGGACUGAACGAACUCACAAUUAGAGCACCAAGCUAUUGCAAAUUAGAGUCCGAAUAGUAACUGCAACUUGAGAAGAAUGGAAUCAUAAUUCAUCUGAAUUGUGAUGGCUCCAGAAUGUGGUAUUUCUCUGCUGUCUUGAUCCUAUUUCUCACAGAAGGAAUUCAUGCUUCACUUGAAUCUUGCCCUGUUUGCAAACCUGGAGAUGUUGUCCAGAGGAUUUUCCCACAGAGCGAAGAGAGUGUUAUGGCAUGUUGGAAGGUUCUUGUGAGCAAUUGUCAGUAGGUGGGUUACAGAAGAAGGU
rnacentral:lncRNA from 1 species